rnacentral:rRNA from 1 species
GUGAGGAAUAUUGCGCAAUGGGGGAAACCCUGACGCAGCGACGCCGCGUGGAGGAUGAAGGCCCUCGGGUCGUAAACUCCUUUCGCCAGGGAAGAAAGGCUCUUCGGAGUUUGACGGUACCUGGAUAAGAAGCCCCGGCUAACUACGUGCCAGCAGCCGCGGUAAUACGUAGGGGGCGAGCGUUGCUCGGAAUCACUGGGCGUAGAGGGUCUGUAGGCGGUUUGGCAAGUUGGCUGUGAAAUCUCCCGGCUUAACCGGGAGCCUGCGGUCAAAACUGUUGAACUAGAGGGUCGGAGAGGCAGGUAGAAUUCCUGGUGUAGCGGUGAAAUGCGUAGAGAUCAGGAGGAAUACCGGUGGCGAAGGCGGCCUGCUGGACGGCACCUGACGCUGAGAGACGAAAGCUGGGGGAGCAAACAGG